CAAUUUCAAGGCACGUGGAAAGA
rnacentral:piRNA from 1 species